rnacentral:rRNA from 1 species
GAUGAACGCUGGCGGCGUGCCUAAUACAUGCAAGUAGAACGCUGAAGGAAGGAGCUUGCUCUUUCCGGAUGAGUUGCGAACGGGUGAGUAACGCGUAGGUAACCUGCCUGGUAGCGGGGGAUAAAUAUUGGAAACGAUAGCUAAUACCGCAUAACAGUAGAUGUUGCAUGAUAUCUACUUAAAAGGUGCAAUUGCACCACUACCAGAUGGACCUGCGUUGUAUUAGCUAGUUGGUGAGGUAACGGCUCACCAAGGCGACGAGACAUAGCCGACCUGAGAGGGUGAUCGGCCACACUGGGACUGAGACACGGCCCAGACUCCUACGGGAGGCAGCAGUAGGGAAUCUUCGGCAAUGGACGGAAGUCUGACCGAGCAACGCCGCGUGAGUGAAGAAGGUUUUCGGAUCGUAAAGCUCUGUUGUAAGAGAAGAACGAGUGUGAGAGUGGAAAGUUCACACUGUGACGGUAUCUUACCAGAAAGGGACGGCUAACUACGUG